rnacentral:rRNA from 1 species
GACGAACGCUGGCGGCGUGCCUAAUACAUGCAAGUUGAGCGCUGAAGGUUGGUACUUGUACCAACUGGAUGAGCAGCGAACGGGUGAGUAACGCGUGGGGAAUCUGCCUUUGAGCGGGGGACAACAUUUGGAAACGAAUGCUAAUACCGCAUAAAAACUUUAAACACAAGUUUUAAGUUUGAAAGAUGCAAUUGCAUCACUCAAAGAUGAUCCCGCGUUGUAUUAGCUAGUUGGUGAGGUAAAGGCUCACCAAGGCGAUGAUACAUAGCCGACCUGAGAGGGUGGUCGGCCACAUUGGGACUGGGACACGGCCCAAACUCCUACGGGAGGCAGCAGUAGGGAAUCUUCGGCAAGGGACGAAAGUCUGACCGAGCGACGCCGCGUGAGUGAAGAAGGUUUUCGGAUCGUAAAACUCGGUUGGUAGAGAAGAACGUUGGUGAGAGUGGAAAGCUCAUCAAGUGACGGUAACUACCCAGAAAGGGACGGCUAACUACGUG